rnacentral:rRNA from 1 species
GCUGAAUGUGGGGAUAAUUUAUCUUUGUAUUGUAGCUAACGCGUUAAGCACUCCGCCUGGGGACUACGGUCGCAAGACUAAAACUCAAAGGAAUUGACGGGGACCCGCACAAGCGGUGGAGCAUGUGGUUUAAUUCGAUGCUACGCGAAAAACCUUACCACUUUUUGACAUGAAGGUCGUAUCCCUCCUAACAGGGGGAGUCAGUUCGGCUGGACCUUACACAGGUGCUGCAUGGUUGUCGUCAGCUCGUGUUGUGAGAUGUUGGGUUAAGUCCCGCAACGAGCGCAACCCUCAUUCUUAGUUACCAACAGGUAAAGCUGGGCACUUUAAGGAAACUGCCAGUGAUAAACCGGAGGAAGGUGGGGAUGAUGUCAAAUCAGCACGGCCCUUAUGGGGUGGGCUACACACGUGCUACAAUGGCAACUACAAUAGGUUGCAAGGCCGCAAGGUUUAGCUAAUCCAUAAAAGUCGUCUCAGUUCGGAUUGUUCUCUGAAACUCGAGGGCAUGAAGUCGGAAUCGCUAGUAAUCGUGGAUCAGCAUGCCACGGUGAAUACGUUCUCGGGUCUUGUACACACUGCCCGUCACGCCAUGGGAAUUGGCUUAACUCGAAGCUGGUGUGCUAACCGAAAGGAAGCAGCCAU